rnacentral:tRNA from 2 species
CCCAUAGCUCAGUCGGUUAGAGCAGGGGACUCAUAAUCCCUUGGUCGUUGGUUCGAGUCCAACUGGG